rnacentral:rRNA from 1 species
UACGGGGGGAGCAAGCGUUGUUCGGAUUUACUGGGCGGAAAGGGCGCGUAGGCGGUCAGCACAAGUCAGUUGUGAAAUCCCCGGGCUUAACUCGGAAAGGUCAACUGAUACUGUGCGACUAGAGUGCGGAAGGGGCAACUGGAAUUCUUGGUGUAGCGGUGAAAUGCGUAGAUAUCAAGAGGAACACCUGCGGCGAAGGCGGGUUGCUGGGCCGACACUGACGCUGAUGCGCGAAAGCCAGGGGAGCGAACGGG